AUGAAGUCUGCUGGCCUCCAACCUACUACUGUUACGUAUGGUAUACUUCUUAAUGGCUACUGUAAAAUUGGAAGGAUCGCCGCUGGAUUGAGUCUUUUCAAGGAAAUGUCACUCAGCGGGGUUAAGCCCAUUACUAUUAUGUACAACAUUAUACUUGAUGGGCUGUUUUGCUCUGGGAGAACAGUUUGUGCAAAGGAAAAAUUCCAUACGAUGAAUGAAAGUGGCAUACCAGUGGGCGUUGACACAUACAACAUAGUUCUUAGUGGACUUUGUAAAAACAAUUGCACUGAUGAAGCAAUAGAGCUGAGAAUUGAAGAAGCCAAGGAUUUGUUUGCUACUAUAUCAGCCAUUGGGUUGGUGCCUUUUGUUGUGACUUACAGUGUAAUGAUGACGAAUUUCAUAAAAGAAGGGUUGCUGGCAGAUGCUGAUGAUAUGUUUUUAGCAAUGGAGAAUGCUGGCUGUGCUCCCAACUCCAGUCUGCUAAAUCAAGUGGUCAGGGCGUUGCUAGAAAAAUGUGCAGUUGUGAAGGCUGCAACUUAUCUCGCUAAACUUGAUGCUAAACAGCUGUCAGUUGAAGCUUCAACGAUUUCGUUAAUAGUAUCUAUCUUCUCAGGGGAAGGGAAACUAAGGGAGCACGUAAAAUUGCUUCCGAUGAAGUACCAGCCUCCGGAGAUGUUCGUCUGA
rnacentral:rRNA from 1 species